UACAGAGGUCCCGAGCGUUGUUCGGAUUUACUGGGCGUAAAGGGCGCGUAGGCGGUCACUACAAGUCAGUUGUGAAAUCUCUGGGCUUAACUCAGAACGGUCAACUGAUACUGUCGGACUAGAGUGCAGAAGGGGCAACUGGAAUUCUCGGUGUAGCGGUGAAAUGCGUAGAUAUCGAGAGGAACACCUGCGGCGAAGGCGGGUUGCUGGGCUGACACUGACGCUGAGGCGCGAAAGCUAGGGGAGCGAACGGG
rnacentral:rRNA from 1 species